UACGGGGGGGGCAAGCGUUGUUCGGAAUUACUGGGCGUAAAGGGCUCGUAGGCGGCCAACUAAGUCAGACGUGAAAUCCCCAGGCUCAACCUGGGAACUGCGUCUGAUACUGGAUGGCUUGAAUCCGGGAGAGGGAUGCAGAAUUCCAGAUGUAGCGGUGAAAUGCGUAGAUAUCUGGAGGAAUACCGGUGGCGAAGGCGGCAUCCUGGACCGGCAUUGACGCUGAGGAGCGAAAGCCAGGGGAGCAAACGGG
rnacentral:rRNA from 1 species